GGGCCGGUAACUCAGUGGUAGAGGUUGGUACACCUGCAUCUAAAUAUUUCAGUAACAUGAUCUAACUCCUUCUCAGUGUAGGACUGCAGUUCACCAAAACCGUCUUCCCGAAGUCACCGGUUCGACUCCGGUUCGGCCCU